CAAUAGCGUAUAUUAAAGUUGUUGCAGUUAAAAAGCUCGUAGUUGGAUUUCUGGUGGGAGCGAUCGGUCUGGCGCUUAGCGCGAGUACUUGCAUCGUCUCCGGCCAUCCUUGGGGAGAGUCUGUCUGGCAUUAGGUUGUCGGGCAGAGGAUCCUCAUCGUUUACUGUGAAAAAAUUAGAGUGUUCAAAGCAGGCUUAUGCCGUUGAAUAUAUUAGCAUGGAAUAAUAAGAUAGGACGUUGGUACUAUUUUGUUGGUUUGCGCACCAAAGUAAUGAUUAAUAGGGACAGUUGGGGGUAUUCGUAUUCCGUUGUCAGAGGUGAAAUUCUUGGAUUUACGGAAGACGAACUACUGCGAAAGCAUUUACCAAGGAUGUUUUCAUUAA
rnacentral:rRNA from 1 species